UUCGUAGGUGAACGUGAGGAAGGAUCAGUAAUGAAACUUCAAAGUCGGCUUGUCAUAUGUGCUGGUGGAGACACAUGUGCACGUUGCAAGUCGCAAAUCCCACACACCUGUGCACCUAUGACUCUGAGUACUGCUUUGCAUGGGCCCCUCAAAGGCCCUGGUACUCGAGUACUUUUACACACUCUGAAUGUAAUGGAAUGUCUAUUGUACAAUGUACAACCAAAACAACUUUCAACAACGGAUCUCUUGGCUUUCGCAUCGAUGAACAACGCAGCGAAAUGCGAUAAGUAAUGUGAAUUGCAGAAUUCAGUGAAUCAUCGAAUCUUUGAACGCACCUUGCACCCUUUGGUAUUCCGAAGGGUACACCCGUUUGAGUGUCAUUGUAAUCUCACCCCCUUGACUUUUUUGUUGAUCGGUGUGGACUUGGAUGUUGCCGUGUAACAAACGGCUCGUCUGAAAUGCCUGAGUGUACCCUGCUUUGCAGCGUAUUCGGUGUGAUAAAUCUUUACCGGAGUUGACUUUUUCGAGUCGCGCUUGUACCUGUGGGCUCUAUGCUUACAAACAGUCCUGACAAGGACAAUCUUUGACAAUUUGACCUCAAAUCGGGUGGGACUACCCGCUGAACUUAAGCAUAUCA
rnacentral:rRNA from 1 species